UACGAAGGGGGCUAGCGUUGUUCGGAAUUACUGGGCGUAAAGGGCGCGUAGGCGGCUCUGAUCGUCGGAUGUGAAAGGCCUGGGCUCAACCUGGGAAUGGCAUCCGAUACGGCGGGGCUGGAGUGUGGGAGAGGUUGGUGGAAUUCCCAGUGUAGAGGUGAAAUUCGUAGAUAUUCGCAAGAACACCAGUGGCGAAGGCGGCUGACUGGUCCGGUUCUGACGCUGAGGCGCGAAAGCGUGGGGAGCAAACAGG
rnacentral:rRNA from 1 species